rnacentral:rRNA from 1 species
GAACGGGUGAGUAACGUGAGUAACCUGCCCCUGAUUUCGGGAUAACCUGGGAAACUGGUAAUACCGGAUACGACCAAUCCUCGGAGUUGGUGGAAAGUUUUUCGAUCGGGGAUGGGCUCGCGGCCUAUCAGCUUGUUGGUGGGGUAAUGGCCUACCAGGCGACGACGGGUAGCCGGCCUGAGAGGGCGACCGGCCACACUGGGACUGAGACACGGCCCAGACUCCUACGGGAGGCAGCAGUGGGGAAUAUUGCACAAUGGGGGAAACCCUGAUGCAGCGACGCAGCGUGCGGGAUGACGGCCUUCGGGUUGUAAACCGCUUUCAGCAGGGAAGAAGGACGGUACCUGCAGAAGAAGUACCGGCU